rnacentral:rRNA from 1 species
UACGAAGGGGGCGAGCGUUGUUCGGAUUUACUGGGCGUAAAGGGCGCGCAGGCGGCUCAUUUUGUCAGGCGUGAAAGCCCCCGGGCUUAACCUGGGAACUGCGUUUGAUACGGAUGGGCUAGAGUUCGGGAGAGGAGAGUGGAAUUCCCAGUGUAGAGGUGAAAUUCGUAGAUAUUGGGAAGAACACCGGUGGCGAAGGCGGCUCUCUGGACCGAUACUGACGCUGAGGCGCGAAAGCGUGGGGGAGCAAACAGG